GUGCUCGCUUCAGCAGCACAUAUACUAAAAUUGGAACAAUACAGAGAUUAACAUGGCCCCUGCGCAAGGAUGACACGCAAGUUCAUGAUGUGUUCCCUAUUCCU
ensembl:snRNA U6 U6 spliceosomal RNA